GUUUACGUUCGACGAGUGAUGACAGAUGUCAGAUUAUUAAUAAGCAUGUUUGGUUUGGACCCUUCAAUGUGGUUGCUCAUAAGUCCUGAGUGUACUCCAAAUCUAAGAAUUAUGCAUACAUUCCUUGGUGACAGGUAAGGAUGGAAAACCAUGUAAUUAAAAACUGAAAGACUGUAAUAAUACAUUCUGUUUUCCUUCGUCGUCGUGCACACCACACUGUAUUUAUUUGUGAACAUGGGAUGGUCACUAGUGUUACUGUUUAGUGUUAGGUAGUGUGACUGCUAGCUGCCAGAGUGAAUGCUGUGGAUGGACGACAGGCAGGCCGACGAUGGUUAAGUGUAGCACUGGCAACUUCAUCAUGUCCUCACAUAAUGACAGGCUUUGACAUGUUCGUGGCUGAAUAGAUGUAGAUGUCUAUGACUAUGGAUGAUCCUCUUCCAUGAUACGACCAAGUUGUUGCAGAUCCCCACCUUACCACAACUGGACUUGCGAGGGCGCCCCAUCAUAUGACGGUCAACUUUGUGUGCUGAGUGCAUCAUCUAAGAUGGAAUAUGACACUAGGAGAACUGCCUACCAACCAGUCAACCAGCACCUCUCCAACAUGGAUGCUUAGUUUCAUCUCUGAGUUGUGACAUGGAGGCUGUGAGAACUGACUACCAGUUAACCAGCACCUCUCCAACAUGGAUGCUUAGUUUCAUCUCUGAGUUGUGACAUGGAGGCUGUGAGAACUGCCUACCAGUUAACCAGCACCUCUCCAGCAUGGAUGCUUAGUUUCAUCUCUGAGUUGUGACAUGGAGGCUGUGAGAACUGCCUACCAGUUAACCAGCACCUCUCCAACAUGGAUGCUUAGUUUCAUCUCUGAGUUGUGACAUGGAGGCUAUGAGAACUGCCUACCAGUCAACCAGCACCUCUCCAACAUGGAUGCUUAGUUUCAUCUCUGAGUUGUGACAUGGAGGCUGUGAGAACUGCCUACCAGUUAACCAGCACCUCUCCAACAUGGAUGCUUAGUUUCAUCUCUGAGUUGUGACAUGGAGGCUGUGAGAACUGCCUACCAGUUAACCAGCACCUCUCCAACAUGGAUGCUUAGUUUCAUCUCUGAGUUGUGACAUGGAGGCUGUGAGAACUGCCUACCAGUCAACCAGCACCUCUCCAACAUGGAUGCUUAGUUUCAUCUCUGAGUUGUGACAUGGAGGCUGGGAGAACUGCCUACCAGUCAACCAGCACCUCUCCAACAUGGAUGCUUAGUUUCAUCUCUGAGUUGUGACAUGGAGGCUGGGAGAACUGCCUACAAGUCAACCAGCACCUCUCCAACAUGGAUGCUUAAUUUUAUCUCUGAGUUGUGACAUGGAGGCUGGGAGAACUGCCUACCAGUCAACCAGCACCUCUCCAACAUGGAUGCUUAGUUUCAUCUCUGAGUUGUGACAUGGAGGCUGGGAGAACUGCCUACCAGUCAACCAGCACCUCUCCAACAUGGAUGCUUAGUUUCAUCUUUGAGUUGAGACAUUGAGGCUGGGAGAACUGCCUACCAGUCAACCAGCACCUCUGCCUACCAGUUAACCAGCACCUCUCCAACAUGGAUGCUUAGUUUCAUCUCUGAGUUGUGACAUGGAGGCUGUGAGAACUGCCUACCAGUUAACCAGCACCUCUCCAACAUGGAUGCUUAGUUUCAUCUCUGAGUUGUGACAUGGAGGCUGGGAGAACUGCCUACCAGUCAACCAGCACCUCUCCAACAUGGAUGCUUAGUUUCAUCUCUGAGUUGUGGCAUAUAAAGUGUGCUGUUGUUUGAGGUAAAGGUCAAUCAAGGGUCAUGCUACAGUGGGAACUUCAUUACAUCUUAAACAUGGUCAGACAUCCAAUUAUUAAAUGGAAUGUGAUGUUUGAUUCCAACAUUGCCAUCUGCUUGUGAUUCCUAUGUGGGGCAGCAACGUUUGGAUUCCUACAUGGACAGCCACACGAGGAUUCUUACAUUGACAGCAAUAUCUGAUUCCUACAUGGACAGCACUGUCAGAUUCCUUUAUGGACAGUAACGCCUGAUUCCUACAUGGACAUUAAAGGAACACGUUGCCUUUGAUCGGUCGAGUUGCUCCUUGAAAAGCGUUCUGU